rnacentral:rRNA from 1 species
AGAGAGAGACAUGCGCGCAUAUCAAUAAGCGGAGGAAAAGGAAACUAACAAGGAUUCCCCUAGUAACGGCGAGUGAAGCGGGAAGAGCUCAAAUUUGAAAUCUUAAAGGGUUUCCCUUUACGAAUUGUAGUUUAAAGAAGUGUUUUCUGUUGAGGUUUUGGUAAAAGUUCUUUGGAAUAGGACAUCAUAGAGGGUGAGAAUCCCGUAUUUGACCUUUACUUUCAACUUUGUGAUACACUUUCAAAGAGUCGGAUUGUUUGGGAAUGCAGUCCAAAAUGGGUGGUAAAUUUCAUCUAAAGCUAAAUAUUGGCGAGAGACCGAUAGCGAACAAGUACCGUGAGGGAAAGAUGAAAAGAACUUUGAAAAGAGAGUUAAACAGUACGUGAAAUUGUCAAAAGGGAAGCGUUUGACACCAGUGUUGUUUUUCUGAAAAUCAAUUAAAGAACUGUUUAUGCUAAGUUGUUUAGACUUUAUCAGCUAACUGUUUAGUUUUGAGCUUUUCUUUAAUGCACUUUUCAGUUAACAAGUCAACAUCAAUUUCUUUUGCUGUAAAAAAGCUUGAGGAAGGUGGCUUGAGAUUCGUCUUAAGUGUUUAUAGCCUCUUGCCUAUGCAGUCGGAGAGAUUGAGGUCUGCAGCGUAGAUCCUUCGGGGCUAAAUGCAUUUGUGCUAAGUUAUAGCAUUUUAUAGACAACUUGUUGACUAUGAUUUGUCUUGUAGCUUACUCGCUUAUGUUAUUUUACCUACGCUUAGGAUGUUGAGCGCAUGUCUCUCUCU